rnacentral:rRNA from 1 species
GUCGAACGAGAACCACUUCGGUGGAUUCUAGUGGCGAACGGGUGAGUAACACGUAAGAAACCUGCCCCAAAAACGAGGAUAACCAUGGGAAACUAUGGCUAAUACUGGAUAGGAUAUAAGAACGCAUGUUCUAAUAUUUAAAGACGUGAUUGCGUCGUUAUGGGAUGGUCUUGCGCUGUAUUAGCUAGUUGGUGAGGUAACGGCUCACCAAGGCGACGAUACAUAGCUGGUCUGAGAGGAUGAACAGCCACACUGGGACUGAGACACAGCCCAGACUCCUACGGGAGGCAGCAGUAGGGAAUUUUCGGCAAUGGGCGAAAGCCUGACCGAGCAAUGCCGCGUGAAUGAUGAAGGUCUUCGGAUCGUAAAGUUCUGUUGUUAGGGAAGAACGACUAGAGUAGGAAAUGGCUCUAGAGUGACGGUACCUAACCAGAAAGCUCCGGCUAACUACGUGCCAGCAGCCGCGGUAAUACGUAGGGAGCGAGCGUUAUCCGGAAUUAUUGGGCGUAAAGCGUGCGUAGGCGGUAUGUUAAGUCAAAUGUGAAAGCCCAGGGCUUAACCCUGGAGAGUCAUUUGAAACUGGCAUGCUUGAGUACGGCAGAGGUAAGUGGAAUUCAAUGUGUAGCGGUGGAAUGCGUAGAUAUAUUGAGGAACACCAGUGGCGAAGGCGGCUUACUGGACCGGAACUGACGCUGAGGCACGAAAGCGUGGGGAGCAAACAGGAUUAGAUACCCUGGUAGUCCACGCUGUAAACGAUGAGAACUAAGUGUUGGGGUUACCCAGUGCUGAAGUUAACGCAUUAAGUUCUCCGCCUGGGGAGUACGACCGCAAGGUUGAAACUCAAAGGAAUUGACGGGUCUCCGCACAAGCGG